GACGAACGCUGGCGGUGUGCUUAACACAUGCAAGUCGAACGGAAAGGCCCUGCUUUUGUGGGGUGCUCGAGUGGCGAACGGGUGAGUAACACGUGAGUAACCUGCCCUUGACUUUGGGAUAACUUCAGGAAACUGGGGCUAAUACCGGAUAGGAGCUCCUGCUGCAUGGUGGGGGUUGGAAAGUUUCGGCGGUUGGGGAUGGACUCGCGGCUUAUCAGCUUGUUGGUGGGGUAGUGGCUUACCAAGGCUUUGACGGGUAGCCGGCCUGAGAGGGUGAACGGCCACAUUGGGACUGAGAUACGGCCCAGACUCCUACGGGAGGCAGCAGUGGGGAAUAUUGCACGACGGGCGGAAACCUGAUGCAGCAACGCCGCGUGCGGGAUGAAGGCCUUCGGGUUGUAAACCGCUUUCGCCUGUGACGAAGCGUGAGUGACGGAAAUGGGUAAAGAAGCACCGGCUAACUACGUG
rnacentral:rRNA from 1 species